GGAACCCCUCAUGAUCUAUGUAGCUGGGGCGCGGAUUAUUGUCGGAGCAACGCCUCCGCUUUCUUGGUCACCCCCCCCGGCCCAGGCUGGAAUGGGAGGACCCAGCGCGCCACGUGACCGAAUACUGCGCGUCACGUGACGAGGAAGCAGCGCAGCGGCGCCCGGGGAAGGAGUAGCUCUGGCGGAGCUUCUGGUAACCGUGGCGUCGGGCUCUGAGGCGCGCAGGAUUGGAGCUACUCGAAUUUUCCCCCUCAGAUACGCUAGUUGCGGGUGGUGUCCCGUGAUGGGGGGCAUGAGUCCUGUCUCACCAUGUCUGGCUGGCGGCGACCCAGGUGCCACGUGAUGGUCAUUUGAAGACAGGCCUGUCGGAUGUCAGGUAGUGAGCCCAUCACUGUGGCCAUUUUCACGUCUUCCUUGGUCGUGGGUGGGGGCAUCCGCAUGGUGCACGGGGCGUUAGGGACCCAGGCGUACCAGUCCAGCUGGGGGAAGAAACUGCAAGCCUAGGGUCCUGGUACUUCUGCUUGGAACCCCCGUCUUUCCCUUGGGAAUCCCAAGGUCCGACACUUGCCUUCGGGGACCCGGGCUGCCGGCUGUCAUACCUGGCCCUGGUUGAUGGCCCCGUGCUGGGCAGUGCAAGUGAAGACGCACAUCGUAAGGAAAUGACAGAGCUGACUCUGGGACUGGAAGGAGGCAGGGAAACCUGGGCAGAGAGGAAGGGGGUUUGGAGGCUACGGCCGGAGAGGAGAGACCUGAAGGCUGACGUCUUGGGAUGUCUGCACCGCUCGGGGUUGAACUGCACAGGUCCGCUUAUGUGUGGGUUAUUUACUGUACGGUAUUACAAAUGUAUGCUCCUUACGGUUUUCUUGACGUUUUCUUUUCCCUAGCUCGCUUUAUCGUCAGAAUACCGCAUAUGAUAACAUAGAACACACAAAAUACAUGCUAAUUGACUGUUUAUGUUACUGGUAAAGCUUCCGGUCAACGGUAGGCUCUUGGUAGUGAAGUUUUGGGGGGAGUCAGAAAGUAGAUGCGGAUUUGUAACUGCUGGGUGUGUGGGGGAGGGUCGGUGCCCUCACCCCUGCGUUAUUUAAGGGUCACCUGUGUUUUGGCAUUGAUGGGUAUUUGUUCCUUUAUUCAAGUAUAUUUGCAUUAGAUGUGAGUUUCAAUUCAGGUUCAAGCAAUAAUAUUUGGGUGCCUUAGACCAAUGACUUAAUCUCUCUGAACCCCGGUUUCUUCACCUGUAAAGUGUGGAUGCCACCUGCCUUAUAAAAGAGAAAAUGCAUUGAAGUCACCUAAUACAUUAUAAAUUCUCAAUAAAUAAUAAUUAUUAUUACGGAAGGGUUGGGGGUGAACAGCUCUGACUGAUAGAAUAUCUUCUGCCUCAAAAAGGGGUUAAGAAUUUAGGGAUGUUUCCUCCUACUCUGGAACAAGGGCAUUAUAAGUGUCUGAGUUACAAGGUGAGGAUUACGAGAAGUCCCGUGUUUGUGGUGUCAUGGCCAAGAGAGGGUUUCCACAAAGGUUGUCUCGGGCCACUGGUUUUACAGUGGAGGUGGGGACUCAGAGACCCAAUUAUCCUGUUAAGGGGAACAUAUAAUCACUCCCCUUCUGUAGAUUAAAAAAAAAAAAUCAAAGACCAGAGAGAUUAACCUGCUGGGCAGGAUCCCAUCUUUGGGAAAAGGCAGAGGCUGACCUUGAACUCCGGGUCCUGACUGCUUUUCUCAAGCUGUUUUUAAUUUUAGCACAUUUCCUCUAGAAAGGCUAUCGGGAAAAUUAGGCAAAGAGCACCAUGAGAACCGGGGUGGGGGUGGGGGGGAGAGGGGAAAAGAGAGAAUGAGAGGCAGUCGGUGGAGAUUAAAGCUGCCAUAUGAGUGUUUAUUUUUAUCUUCCAGAUGUAGAUGGUGGUUGGGAGGAGAUGGUUAGGGAGAGGAAGAAGGGUUUUCUGGGACUGAGGUGUACCAGGGAAAGUUUGCCCCGGAAGGGGGAGUGUAGGCAUUGGUUUAUCGCCCACUGUACCCCCAGGGCCUGGCCAGAGCGGCUCCCCGGACGCAGGAUGCCCGAAGGAUGAUUUCAAGCGGUCCCUGCUGGCCCGUGUGUGCUGGAGAGGGAGGAUGGACCCGCCAAAGGCUGAGAAAAGCUGUGUCUUCCCCAGAGGUUAAAGCGCAGGACUGAGCUCCUGCGCCUCCUGUCUGGACCUUCCAAAGUCGGGCGCUUAACCGACUGAGCCCCCCAGGCGCCCCUGGACCUUCUAGGUUUCGUGUGGGAGUUUUGUCCCAUGCUGACCUCAGGUCAGAGCCCCGCUGGCCCCCUCCCCGAAGCCCCUGCAUUUCCCAGCCGCCACUCUCACCCACCGGGCAAUGAUCUCCCAGAGCCGUAGGGCGUCGUGGGCGUAGAGGGCACUUGGGAUUCCCAGCAGGCCCCGCGCAGCCAGGUCGUCAGGAGGACAGAGGGAGCUGUAGGUCAGCUGGGCCAUGGCCCGACGGAGCAAGUGCACGUGGCCCCCUCCGCCAGUGCUCACCGCCUGCGACAAGAGAGAAGAGAGGCCUUGAGGGAAAAGACCGAGCACGGUGUGCAGGGGCUCGGAGGUGGGGUUCCACAUUUAAAGACACGAGCUUAGAGGGACAGGCGCGUGGGUUUAGGGCCAGGACACUCCCACCGUCUGGGAUCCUGAAAGUGGCGGGAGGUCACGGAAUGCUGGGUGAUGAGCCCCACCCCGUGGCCCGUCACCUCCUUACCUUAUCAAAUAUUCCUCCUUCCGAGAUGAGCUGGGAUCUGGCCCGGGUGUUGAUUUCCAAGGUAUAGCGGAUGUGCGGG